rnacentral:tRNA from 1 species
GGGAAUGUGGCUUAGUGGUAGAGUGCUUGCCUAACAUGUAUGAAGCCCUGGGUUCAAUUCCUCAGUACCA